rnacentral:rRNA from 1 species
UUAUUAAAAACAUUUCCAUUUGGUGUUUAUUGAUGGUAGUGCCUGCCCAAUGUUUAUAUUAAUGGCCGCAGUAUUCUGACUGUGNUAAGGUAGCAUAAUUAGUUGCCUCANAAUUAGGGGAUUGUUUGAAUGGUUUAACCAGGUGGGUGUUCUUAAAUGGGGGUUUUGUUNGAAAUUGGUGACUUGGUGCAGAGGCCAAGGUUGNGUAAUAAGACGGAAAGACCCCGAGAGCUUUAUAAUUAUUUAUUUNCUUGGGGCAAGGGUAUAUUGUUUAUAUAUUUUUGGAUCCUUUGGGAUGAAGGUUUAAGUUACCUCGGGGAUAACUAGGUAAGAAGCGAAGAGAGAUCUUAUCGGUUCGCUUGUU